AAAAUAUUAGCUGGGUGUGGUGGUGGGCGCCUGUAAUCCCAGCUGCUUGGGAGGCUGAGGCAGGAGAAUUGCUUGAACGCAGGAGGCGGAGGUUGCAGUGAGCUGAGAUUGCGCCAUUGCACUCCAGCUUGGGUAACAAGAGUGAAACUCUGUCUCAAAAAAAAAAAAAAAAACAAAAAACACAUCUUACUGUUGUGAAGAUGAUGCUGCUUUAAACCUCUAAGAUUUAGGGAAAUCUGUUUAUCAGAGAUAUGAUAACAAAGAAUAUCGCCUAGAAUAACAUCAUCAAA